rnacentral:rRNA from 1 species
CCUACGGGAGGCAGCAGUGGGGAAUAUUGGACAAUGGGCGCAAGCCUGAUCCAGCAAAUGCCGCGUGAGUGAUGAAGGCCUUAGGGUCGUAAAGCUCUUUUACCAGGGAUGAUAAUGACAGUACCUGGAGAAUAAGCUCCGGCUAACUCCGUGCCAGCAGCCGCGGUAAUACGGAGGGAGCUAGCGUUGUUCGGAAUUACUGGGCGUAAAGCGUACGUAGGCGGUUAUUCAAGUCAGAGGUGAAAGCCCGGGGCUCAACCCCGGAACGGCCUUUGAAACUAGGUAGCUAGAAUCUUGGAGAGGUCAGUGGAAUUCCGAGUGUAGAGGUGAAAUUCGUAGAUAUUCGGAAGAACACCAGUGGCGAAGGCGACUGACUGGACAAGUAUUGACGCUGAGGUACGAAAGCGUGGGGAGCAAACAGGAUUAGAUACCCUGGUAGUCCACGCCGUAAACGAUGAUAACUAGCUGUCCGGGCACUUGGUGCCUGGGUGGCGCAGCUAACGCAUUAAGUUAUCCGCCUGGGGAGGUACGGUCGCGAAGAAUAAAACUAACAAAGAAGUAGUAGGUAACGGUCGUGAGAGUCGACCGAACGGACCGAACCGACGGGAGGGGAGGGUUAGGG